GACUUUCUGGACUGUGGUGAGUACUCUUUGUUAUUCCAUUACGUUUUUUUGCCCCUCUCACUGAUGGGUAAACUCUGGACAUGUCCCAAGCUGUCUGUUAUGUGCAUUAAAAACCAUAAAGAUUGGUGCUUAUUUGUAGUUGUAUAAAUUUAGUUUCAGAAAAUAAACAAACUUGGAUAGCUAAAAUGUACACAUUGGAUGUUGUUAUGUGAUUUAACAGUUAAAUCAUUUGGAUUCUGCACAGCCUUAGCAUGCAUCCGGUAUAUCAUGCCUCAAUGAUGAGCAUGGUCAGGAUCUUUCUUCUUAAUUCUUGCUUACUUUACAUUGAUACAUCUCCUCUCUUUAUAUAGAGAGGCUUACUUGACCUCUAAGAACAUAUUCUAACCAAAUCAAUCUAUCUCAAUUCUUUCCUUAUCUUAUCCUAACUAACCAAAUAUUUUCUUAUCCUAAUGGCUCCACUUGCCAUACCAGGUAUAUAUAGAUACUAGGUGUGAUCCCGUGCGUUGCCACGAAAGUUAAAAAUUAGUAUAGAACAUAGAUACAGAAUGAUAAACAUCACUAUGAUAUGCAAAAUCCGUGUG
rnacentral:lncRNA from 7 species